AGGGUUCGAUUCUGGCUCAGGAUGAACGCUAGCUACAGGCUUAACACAUGCAAGUCGAGGGGCAGCAUUGGAGUAGCAAUACUCAGAUGGCGACCGGCGCACGGGUGAGUAACACGUAUCCAACCUGCCGCUUACUCGGGGAUAGCCUUUCGAAAGAAAGAUUAAUACCCGAUGGUAUAAAGAGUUCGCAUGUUCUCUUUAUUAAAGAAUUUCGGUAAGCGAUGGGGAUGCGUUCCAUUAGAUAGUUGGCGGGGUAACGGCCCACCAAGUCUACGAUGGAUAGGGGUUCUGAGAGGAAGGUCCCCCACAUUGGAACUGAGACACGGUCCAAACUCCUACGGGAGGCAGCAGUGAGGAAUAUUGGUCAAUGGACGAGAGUCUGAACCAGCCAAAAGUAGCGUGAAGGAUGACUGCCCUAUGGGUUGUAAACUUCUUUUAUAAGGGAAUAAAGUGAGGGACGUGUCCCUUUUUGUAUGUACCUUAUGAAUAAGGAUCGGCUAACUCCGUGCCAGCCGCCGC
rnacentral:rRNA from 1 species